CUUCACGGAGCCCAGCCAAAGGGGCUGCUCGCGGUCCUGGCCGUACGUGGCCAGCAGGGCCUGCGCCUC
rfam:Streptomyces sp. TSRI0107 scaffold3, whole genome shotgun sequence.